GCCCGCGAGGGACGGCGGCCGCCCCGGGGGCUCGUGAUAUCUUAUCUCGCCGCCCGUCGCGAGGCGGACGGAGGGGAUGGAUGAGGUUACCUGGAAAAAAUCGGGGCGAUCUAGGCGGGCGAACCUCGCCAACGAACGAUCGGACAUGGGAUAACGGAAGAGGGGCGUCGGCUCGACUUCGUCGGUUCCUCGGGCCGAGGCACGUACGGUGAAUAGGGACGGUCGGGGCCGCCCGUACCGGGUCGUGAGAGGUGAAAUUCUAGGAUCGACCCGAGACGAACUGCCGCGAAAGCAUUCGGCAAGGACGCUUUCAUUAAUCAAGAACGAAAGUCGGGGGAUCGAAGACGAUCAGAUACCGUCGUAGUCCCGACCGUAAACGAUGCCGACCGAGGGCCCGGAGGAGUUACGUACGACCCCUCCGGGCCCUCCCGCGAGAAAUCAGGAGUAUUCGGGUUCCGGGGGGG
rnacentral:rRNA from 1 species